CCCCCAUGAAAGUCUUCUCUCAGUGAGAGGGUAGGAACAUCUCAAUACCUUGCAGGUGGCCAAGAGUAUGUUUCUCUGAUCCAAAUGUUCUAAGAGUCAUGCAUUUCCUUUUAAUUGCCAUUAGCUAUCCCCAAAAGUAUAUUUCCUAUGUAGUUAUUACACACCAAAUCUCUUUCAUAAUGCGAAGUAAUUUCUGAUAUCCCCAAAAAGCAAAAAACAUCAGAUAACACAUGUAAAAUAGAACAGAGCCUUAGAUUUUGAGAGAGAUCUAUCCACUUUCACUUUCUAAGGUUUCAUGAGGAAAACAGAUGUUUUUCCCAAAACAGGGUCUAUGGCACCUCCUCUGUUUUUUUCCAAGGAGUUCCAGGCUGUUAGAACUUGAAUAGCUGCUUUUAAUUAAGCUGACUUUUAACCACAGGGCUCUCUUAUUAAAAUUUUUUUUAAAAAAACACGUUAUUUUAGGUUUCUUGUUACCCAAUUUUAGCCAGACAAAAAGGCAAAUAUUUCUGGCUUUUAAAUUUUACUAAAAGUAACCACCUAGGUGCUCAGAGAAAGGAAAAUUCAAGAUGAUUCGUGGAUGAGAAGCGAAUUAACAAAUGGUGGAGAUCACAACAGAUAUCAACCAGAAAGGACUCAUUCCCUAAGUCAGGAACUGAACUCCGAACCCAGGCCACCACUGUGAAAAGAUAAGAAAGGCAAAAGACAGAAAGGGAGAAAAACAUUCUCAGGGAGGCCAGAGAAAGGCCCACCCAUUGCAGCAACAGUGUAAAGUUCAGGUGGCUGCUCAUAGGGGAUCUUUUCCUGCAGUGUCAUCAGUUCUCAGGUUUCCCCUUUUGGAAAGAAAAAAGCUCCCCAUACCAUAUGUUCCUGUACAUGCCUCAUCCUAUCACCCACAGCCAUCAGCAAAGAGUGCAAGGCAGAUUAAUCCAAAAAAUAUUGGUUAACAUCCCCUAAGUUGGGCCUCUAACCCAAUCCCAUCUUCUACCCAGGUAAAUGCACCCCACUUACCCAAAGUUGGCCAAUUGGGGCAUGCAGACAACUUUCCUUUGGGUCAGGGGUCUCUUGAGUACCGUCCCUUCACGUCACGGGAAAGAAGUUGCUGGAAAGGGAUUCCAAUCCAGACCCCAAGAGAAGGUUCUUGGAUCUGGCACAAGGAAGAAUUCCGGGGUCUUCUGGAUUUUGCAGUUCUCUGCUUCAUUAGGACCAGGAACUUGUCUGAGCCCAGAGAGAGCCUGA
rnacentral:lncRNA from 1 species